rnacentral:rRNA from 1 species
GACGAACGCUGGCGGCGUGCUUAACACAUGCAAGUCGAACGGAAAGGCCCUGCUUUUGUGGGGUGCUCGAGUGGCGAACGGGUGAGUAACACGUGAGUAACCUGCCCUUGACUUUGGGAUAACUUCAGGAAACUGGGGCUAAUACCGGAUAGGAGCUCCUGCUGCAUGGGGGGGGUUGGAAAGUUUCGGCGGUUGGGGAUGGACUCGGGGCUUAUCAGCUUGUUGGUGGGGUAGUGGCUUACCAAGGCUUUGACGGGUAGCCGGCCUGAGAGGGUGACCGGCCACAUUGGGACUGAGAUACGGCCCAGACUCCUACGGGAGGCAGCAGUGGGGAAUAUUGCACAAUGGGCGGAAGCCUGAUGCAGCAACGCCGCGUGCGGGAUGACGGCCUUCGGGUUGUAAACCGCUUUCGCCUGUGACGAAGCGUGAGUGACGGUAAUGGGUAAAGAAGCACCGGCUAACUACGUG